rnacentral:lncRNA from 1 species
GCUUAUAGGCUAAUGAGAAGACAGGAAGAAACAACAGGAACACAUAUAGCUGGAAUGCAGAUGGGAUCUGUGCUACUUACGCUAGCCAUGGGAUGAUUAGAACAAGAUAAGAGACAUGAGGAAGACUUCUUCAAGGAGGUGCUCAAGCCAUGUUUUGGAAAAGAGAACUCAAGGUCUGGCAGGGAGAAAGGAGCAAGGGCAAGUAGAGCUGCAGCUGUCUGGCGCCACUGUAAUGCUGUCUCCUCCUCUGAGUGAGUUCAUCCUGGAAACAUUUUCUCCCAUAAGACAUGCACAGGUCUUACGUUUACAUGUUUCACUGAAAGAAAUUUGAUUCCACUGCUGGGAUGACAAGACUGAAGAAACCUAAUCCUAGGUGCUGCCACUGGGACAAACAAGAAGCACCAGACACAGUGCUGUUUUAGGGUGGGGCAGAAUUAUGCUGAGGGAAAAGUUAUUAUCACUCUUUAAGGCCAAGGAAACCACAAUUUUUAAAGAAGCUUCUAGAAAUUCUACCCAGUAGAAAAUAAAGAUAAACUUCUGUAAGGAAUUUCAUUCUUUUCAGAAUUCGCAAUCUGAAAUGUAGAAGCCCAUUCCUUCAUGGUUCUCAUAGAUAUUUAGUGUGACUGAGGGGUCAGUGGACUCAUAGCACUCAGGCCAGGCUUCUCCUGAGUCCCUUUCUUUGGCACAGAGGGAGUGAUUCACAGAUCCUCUACCCCCAAAGGCAUUGUUUCCUCAUCUCAACAAGAAUCCAGCACCCGUCAUUUUAUCAGCACACGUCACUAGCUUCUCAAGUGAGACUACUCUGAAGUGAUCUGUGUUUGAAGAAUGCCUUUCCCUUUCCCUUACGUAACUAAGAGGAUGAAAAAGGACACUCACUCCCUAUAUGAAAGCUGUGUAUUGUAAGCAGUCAUCUUGCCUGGCUGAGAACUCUAGGAUCUUUUUCUCUGCUCUCCUUUAGGCUGACACUCAUAGCCAGACCUUCUGUUUAUUAGCCCCCUGAAUCUAUUUGAAAAUAUUUUUGCUUUCAUUAUAAUAUAAGUCACAUUCUUCUUGCAUCUGCCGCUGCAUUUUCCAAAAGGGUUAUGUCAAGGGAAAUUCAACACUCACUUUUCUCAUUAUUUGCUUACCAGCUUGCUCACUCAUCAAAAUACCAGAGUUAUUUGAUACUUCAGAAGAUUAUUUCCCCCUUUAGAUGAUGUGUCAAGGGAAGGGGAGCUGGCCCCAGUAUCAGGUGACAGAAUUUUCUUCGCAUUUCUACUGUUGACUCAAUAAAUGCCCUUGGGCAAGUCA